rnacentral:lncRNA from 1 species
AGACCAGUAACAGGCAAAGACUGACCUUCCUAAAGACAAGAGCAGCUGUGCUUACUUUAUAAGCAGCUUUUUGCAGUUACCAGGUUCAAAAGCAAAUUAGACAAUGUGCUGCUGCAACUGCAAUACAAUCUGCCUUCAGAAAAUUCAUGGCUCUGCAAACGUUCAGACUUAUGAACCAUGCUGCACUCACUGUCCAAAGGCAUUACAGAGCCAACAUCACAAGCCAAAAACAAUGGCAGGAGUACAUUGAGCUGUGGAACUGGGUAGUAUGUACUUCAGUGGGAAAAAAAGAUUGAAAAGAAGCACCGGCUUGCAACAAUUACUCAGUCCUAUUACAGCAUGCGUGUCAAUCAAUUAAAAUUUAGAAAACUAAGGCAAUCCACUCUAGUGAUUCAGAGAUACUUGAGAGCUUACUGUAUGAAAAAAACCAGCAUGCACUUCAUCUAAAGACAAAGGUGGCUGUGCUAGUCUUGCAGUCUGCAUACCAUGGGAUGACUGUGAAGAAAUAACUGAGGGAAUUAAGCAAAGCUGCAACAACAAUACAAGCAGCCUUCAAAUCAGUGUUUUAGUGGGAGAUGUUGGUGAUAGGUGGAUGUUUGGACUGGAUGAUCCUAAGGGCUUUUUCCAACCUUGGUUGAUUCUAUGGUUCUAUGAAAAUUCCAGAAUGAAGAUAAUAAGAUGACAGACUAUUUCUUCAUAAUACAUACUGAAAUAGUUAAACUAGUGUUUAUUUACAUUAUGGAAAUGGCUUGAAAAAAAAAAGCUCUACUAGAUCAGACUGUUGCUUGAUCCCAUUCAGAUCUGUGUCCUGUCAGAAACAGUAAAAGAUGCUGUUUGUGGAGAGUAUGUGAAUCUGAGCAAUUACUGAGAUCCUCCCUCAGCAUCAUUGUUCACUAGACUAUGAAUGUUAAAGCUUAUAUCCUUGCUCAUUCUCUUUAUUAUCCUUCUUCUAACCUACUGAGUGUCAGUUUGCCCCUUUAAGUCUAAUGUUGCCUCUACAGCAUCUCUUAGCAGCAAGGUUCUGUUUUCCC